AACGAACGCUGGCGGCAGGCCUAACACAUGCAAGUCGAACGCUCCAGCAAUGGAGAGUGGCAGACGGGUGAGUAACGCGUGGGAACCUUCCCAGUGGUACGGAAUAGCUCAGGGAAACUUGAGGUAAUACCGUAUACGCCCUUCGGGGGAAAGAUUUAUCGCCAUUGGAUGGGCCCGCGUCGGAUUAGCUAGUUGGUGAGGUAACGGCUCACCAAGGCGACGAUCCGUAGCUGGUCUGAGAGGAUGAUCAGCCACACUGGGACUGGGACACGGCCCAGACUCCUACGGGAGGCAGCAGUGGGGAAUAUUGGACAAUGGGCGCAAGCCUGAUCCAGCCAUGCCGCGUGAGUGACGAAGGCCUUAGGGUUGUAAAGCUCUUUUGGCGGGGAAGAUAAUGACGGUACCCGCAGAAUAAGCUCCGGCUAACUUCGUGCCAGCCGCCGCGGUAAUAC
rnacentral:rRNA from 1 species